rnacentral:lncRNA from 1 species
AUGUUCCAACAUCUAGUGGAAAACAACAUAUUUAUUUUUGAUACUGUCGCAAAGCUAACUAAAAAGCAGCAUUCCCCAAGAGAGGAUGGCUUUCACUUCAGCAGUAAUAAAUUCAUGAACUUCUUUGAGGAAAAGAUCUUGAUCAUAAGAAAGCAAAUUACGGACUCCUCUUUAAAUCUGCGUAUUCCUCCAAAGCUCAGUUGUUCUGAGUCUGCACAACUCUGCCAGGACCUAGGAUCAAGAGAGACACUCAAGUGUUUUAGUACUAUAUCUCUUGACACAAUGAUGAAAAUAAUCAUAUACUCGGCCUUGUCUCAGGAUGGUAAGUUGGUGGUUGAAGAUAUCCCUCUAGUGGUGUGGGGGCUGUGCUUUGGCAAAGUAGGUGGGGUUAUAUCCUUCCUGUUUGGCCCUGUCCGGGGGUAUCAUCGGAUGGGGCCACAGUGUCUCCUGACCCCUCCUGUCUCAGCCUCCAGUAUUUAUGCUGCAGUAGUUUGUGUCGGGGGGCUAGGGUCAGUUUGUUAUAUCUGGAGUACUUCUCCUGUCUUAUCCGGUGUCCUGUGUGAAUUUAAGUAUGCUCUCUCUAAUCCACUCUCUCGGAGGACCAGAGCCCUAGGACCAUGCCUCAGGACUACCUGGCAUGAUGACUCCUUGCUGUCCCCAGUCCACCUGGCCGUGCUGCUGCUCCAGUUUCAACUGUUCUGCCUGCAGCUAUGGAACCCUGACCUGUUCACCAGACGUGCUACCUGUCCCAGACCUGCUGUUUUCAACUCUCUAGAGACAGCAGGAGUGGUAGAGAUACUCUUAAUGAUCGGCUAUGAAAAGCCAACUGACAUUUACUCCAAAGUGCUGACUUGCUGCACCCUCGACAACUACUGUGAUUAUUAUUAUUUUACCAUGCUGGUCAUUUAUGAACAUUUGAACAUCUUGGCCAUGUUCUGUUAUAAUCUCCACCCGGCACAGCCAGAAGAGGACUGGCCACCCCUCAUAGCCUGGUUCCUCUCUAGGUUUCUUCCUAGGUUAUGGCCUUUCUAG